GCGUACUUAAUAAAAGAAUUCACCAUGCUUAAUGCCAAACCUGAGACUGAGAGUUCGAUCCCUUAUUCUCAGCUUGCCCCUUCUUCUACGCAAACACCUUAAUAGCUCCUUCUAUAACUAUUAUAUCUAACAGCAGAUUCGGUUGUGUAAACUCCCCCAGGACGAAGGGAAGGCUUUCAUUCACCUUGCAUACUGUGAGAGCUAACUAGUUACUUUCUUACCUUGCUUACCUUUUGGACUAUAGGAGCUAUCGAAUUGACUUAGUGAAUCUUCCCGCCUACUCCUGCCCUUACUAAUGGGAAAUCAGUUACUUGCUUGACUAAUUCUUUCGAAAAUGUCACUCUAUUGGUCCUAUCUAAUGUCAUGUCAAACUUGAAAACAGAACCUUCGCAUUCCUCCUAACUCCCAACAGCUUCUCAAGCAGGGGAUUUGUCGAAAACAACCUAUCUGUCCCCUUGCUUGAAGCUCUCACCCUAUUCUUGCGCAAACCAAGUUCACUGCCUGAAUUUAGGAGUGAAAUAACCCGCUAUGAGUAUAUGGGACUCUGACUUAAGCUGGAGUAGUGGUGAUUUGAGCUUUUGAUGGGUUAAUCCCGGUUUCCAUCUUUGAACUUUGAGGUAAUGACCAGCAAUCGCCCAUGGCCCAAUUUUUAAAGCGAGCUCAGCUGCCCCAACGUUUUCCAUUAUGAGAAAGUAGAAUCCUGAUCCUAAAUCAAUUAGGUCAAGUUCUCCCUGCGGUUUCCACCAACUUGAAAUGAGUAUCUCCAUAGCAUUUGAACCUAUUUACUUCACCAGAAGUUUUUUAAUGGGAGAACUCCUCCAUGGUCUCUCGAGAAAUUCCUCUCAUUUAUGAUCCCCUUGAUUCAGUAUGGGUGCUCGUUAUCUGGGCGCAGGAGUUCGAUCUUAUCAAGAUUAAACAAAGUAGCCUUGUUGAACCAUAUUGGUUCUUUCUUUUUAUCCUGCUUCUUUGAGGAGCUCCCCAC
rnacentral:lncRNA from 1 species